CGACAGAGCCCCUGCGGGCUGGGGGUGGAGCGCGAGGAGGUCGCAGUCGGCCCCGCGUGGGAACGGCCGGAAACCGGGCCCGCGUGCGGCCUCGCGAGGCCCUUCCUCGCCGGCCUGCCCGGCUGGGCUUUGCGCGGGGGCUGCCCCUUGCCGAGCCGGCCUCGCCGAAAGACGCUCUGCCGGUGCGCGGGCGUGCUGCCGGGAGAGAGGCUUCAGCUGGAAACGAGACCGGCUUUGACGUCUUCGCUGGACGAAGCAAAAUGGUUUGCUGUGUGCUUUUAUGGCGAAGCUAAAUAGCUGAGCCUAUAAUGCGGGGAAACGGGUGCACAGUGUGGGAUGAACUUGAAUUUGGUUUUGGCUGAGAAACUUGGAAGAGGCAUGGGGGUGGCCUGUUCUGUAAACGUAAACAGGUCUGACUGUUCCUCUCAGUUUCAAGAGUUAGUAAAAACUGAUUAAGGUCUAUGUAGAGUAGGUCCAUUGACAUCAAUUGGGUCGUCACAUUUCUGGAGCAGGGCUUCAAAGUGCUGGCAGCUUCCACUUGACAAGCGUGCCUUUUGUAGGUGCACUUGUACGAUGCUCCAAAGUAUGUUCCGUUUCCCCGCAUAUCUAUCUACCCAGACAUGGAGGUUAUCUUCAGGUGUCCUCCAGGAGACCCUUCCAAAGGCAGGUAGGUGUGGUUACCGGGAGGGAGGGUCUUUUUGAUUGUGGCACGGCCGGUUUUGGAAUGAACUCUCCAAGGUGAUGUAUCCUUUUCAAUGCCAGGUAUAUACAUUAUUUUUAUAUAUACUAUUUUGUUCAAUUAUGCUUAUGUGCAAUUGCCAAUUUUAAGUAUAGUUUUAUUCUUUUAAAUUAAUGUGCAUGUCUUUUUAACAAAUUUAAUAAGGAUAGUAGAGUCACCACAUAAUAUGAAAGAAGUUUUGAGUUUUCUUUAAUGGACUAUAUUUUUUCUGGGCUUGUUCUGGUUAGAUGUUGUAGCAGUCAGUGGUUCUAAUCUAAAAUUCACGUUGUAGGUUAUUCCACUUUUGUCACCCAAUGUGAUAACUGGCUGGGUGACAUCUGUUGCCCCCAAUCCAAAAAGAACUUGGAGGCUUGGGUCUGCAGGACUCCCUUACAAUUUUAAUAAAGCUCUAAAUUAGAUCUCACCCCUGGGAAACAAUGCCUCAGGUAUAAAAGCUUUUUAAAAUGCAGCCUAUGGAAUAAAUUCUCUACCUUAAAGUAGUAGUCUAGAUCCUGCAGUGCAGAGAUGGGGUGAAUACCAUCCCAAGAGAUUGAAGGAAGAAUAAGAUGUUCAUUAAUGGAAAUUUAUGAGAGAGACUAAAAUGUCGCUUUUCCUGGUUGAGGUUAAAAAUUCUUAGAUAUAAACUAAUUCCUAAAUUGACUUUCCCCACUAAAUCGCAAUAGUUUUUCUGUUAGAGCUGACUUCCUUGUGAUAGGAUAAAAAACCUUAAAGUUGUCAUCCUUUUGACAAAUCUUGCUGCAAGUGGUAGGUGUUAUUUUUGUCAAGAUUAUUCAUGUUAUUUAAACAGGAAAGUGAGUUUGCCAGUUUUGAAUAUGGGUUGUGUUCUGUUGAUGAGAUCUCAAGAACGGAGUCUUAUUUGUCCAUACUACCAAUAGAACUGCCACUAAGACUUAACCAUAAUAAAUGGGGUGUCCAAUAAAAGCCUUCUGAAUGCAGAACAUGUGCUGGUAGGUACCCAUUUUCCAGAAAAUACACUACAUAUGCUAAUGUUUUUUCCAGUACAAAGUACAGAGGUGAAGAGCAAAUGUAUAAACAUAUAAGGGCUUUUUAAAAAAUACUGAGUGUAUUGCAGAUGUUAAACUCUGACUUGGAAAACAUCUUUGACUGAAUGUGACCACCCAAUGUAUUCCUGACAUUUUGUACAUACUUUGUGUAAUGAAGUUGAUGGGACGCUGGAAAAUAUUUACUAUAUGAAGGUAUUGAAAGCUGCAUAACUAAAGGCAGGACAUCCUUCACUCAAUAUUCCAAGUGAAGUUGACACCCAAGCAAACAGGUGUGGGCUUGUUGACUCAUCAUGCAGCUGGAUCACAAAAUGUUAUGCUUCUGUACAUGGGUACUCAAGCUACAGUCCAUGGGCUGAAUCUGGCCCACCAUACCCGUUUAUCAGGCCUGCCAUAGGUUUUGGACUCACUUGGAGAGGACGAUCUCUGAGCAAGUCCAAAAGCUCUGAGCCGGCGUAGGCAUACUCAGUGGGGAGAUGGGCGCGAUCGCGGUGGUGCUGGGGGGGGAUAGCCAUGGUUGCGCCCAUCCUCCCCCCCCAGCAUGAUUGCGGACAUUGUAGCUAUAUCCCUUGAAUAGGGACAUGCUCUUCCCCACCUCAUCUUGGCUUCUGCAGCCCAAGUGAGUGAGGCAAACAUUUUUCAAUUGCUUUUUAAAUUUUCAAUUAAUGUGCAGAGUUCAUUCCUAUUUUUUUUUCAAACUAUAGUCCAGCCCCCUAACAGUCUGAGGGACAGUGAACUUGGCCCCCUGUUUAAAAAAGUUUGAGGACCCCUGCCUCUGUGUGAUAUUUGCUGAAUAAGCUUUGCCGAAAAACUGGAAGGGUUCUGUGACUGCAACGGUCCUGACAAUCUUUGGAGGAAUUGUUUCGGGACUGCUUGCUGAUGUUUUCUUUUGUCAAACAUUAAAUAGGAACCUAAAAUUAGUAUAUCUCGGUUCGCUCAUAAAAGCAUUCCUGAUAUAUUAAACAUAAAAUAAAGUUUAUUCAGAAAACUACAACUAUACUGGAUUUGGUUUUAAAUGUUCUUAAAUGUGGUGAUAUUUAGUUAACAGCUUUUCUGUACUGUCCUUCACUGAGUCCCAGGACAAUAAUACAAAAAAAGCACAGCAUCAACCAUCAAAUGACGACAAAACCCAUCUCUAAAUGGUGUCAACACAUAAAAUGUUUUGGUCCGAUGACAUAACUGGGGUGCCACCACAGAAGGCGCUUCUCUGGGUAGCCACUCUCCUGAUCUUCAGGGAGGGUUCCCAAGGGAGGACCUCCUGUCCAGAUCAUAUGGGGCAGGCAGGUAUGUAUAUUUUGUAAGCGGUGUUACCCACAAAAGACUGUUCAGUGUUCCUAAAGGAGCCUUCCUGAACUUGUUGGCCUCCCAGCAUCUUGAACUGCAGUGCCCAGCAUUCCUGACCACUGGCCAGGCUGCCUGAGGAUGAUGGGAUCUGGAGUCAAGCAUUUCUGGAGACUACCAGGUGGUGGAAAGUUGUUCUAAUGCAACAAAGAUUUGCAAAAAGCAUUAAAAUCAUUUGAAUAGUAUGCUGAAUUUCCUUCAAUUUUUUUCUAUCAUUUCAGAAUUUCUGGAAAUUUUACACUUAAGUCUGUACAUUAAAAAACCAGUCUUGUACUCUGGUGCAAGCCAAGGAUCUCAUUAGUUGGGGAUGGAAUGUCAGUGUUCACUUUACUUUGAGAACAAAAGUGGAUCAUAAAAUAUAUUACAGUGCAGAAUACAGUGGUACCUUGGCUCACAAACUUAAUCUGUUUCACAACUCUGGUCACGACCCCAAUUGGUUGUGGGCCAAGUCAAAUUUCCCCAUAAGGUUCCAUGUAAUUAAGGUUAGUAUGUUCUGUAAUGUUUUAAUCACAAAAAUUU